UGCUCUCGCUCCACUGAAACUAUAAAGGGACCUGCGGGGGAAAGCUGUAGGUUACUCUUUUAGGCCGCCCAGUGACCAAGCAAAAUGUGGGGUUGCAGAGUAAAUACAGAUGCUCCGGUUCUGCGGAGCAGCCCUCGGGACUUGAGUUUAGGGGACCAUGGCUCAUCAUUCUUAACAUCCUCGAAGCAGUUGCAAAAAGAUAAAAAGAUGAAGGGGAGCCCAAAGCUUCCGACAGAAUUCAUAACAGAAAAUAACUUGAUUAAAGCCUGACUCUUUUAAAAGUGAAUGCUGACCAGUGAGAUGCCAGCCUGCCUGUGAAGAUCCUGCAGCAGGAGUGCAGGACCUGUGACACUAGACUUCUUGCAAAUGAACACUAGAUAUGGUAACAUCCAGAAAAGGCAGAGACAAGAAAAUUCACAGUCUGAGUACUGGGGUGUUUGAGAUGGGGUCAAUCUACAUGUCUCUAGCUGUCCCUAUGUAGUGAUCGGGACAGAAUCUGGUAUGGCCUGCAGAGUUGAUUCCUGUAUUUUUUUUGUGGGCUGUAUGUAAAUGGAUUGUUUUUGACAAUCCAUUCGACCAUGUUCUCUGCUGUGACAGUCAUGGGUGAGCUGGUGACAGACACACCUGUACAGACUGAGCAGAGUGAAUGCAAUCCUGACUAUAAAGCAGCAGAUCACUAUUUUUGUGAUUGGGAUGUUAAAAAAGUUUUCAUAGCUGGGCAUGGUUGCUCACACCUUUAAUCCCAGCACUCAGCAGUCAGCAGAGGCAGUUGGAUCUCUGAUCUCCAAGGCCAAUCUCCAGAGGCAGAGGCAGGCAGAUUUCUGAGUUCGAGGCCAGCCUGGUCUACAAAGUGAGUUCCAGGACAGGUACAGGAUGCUGAAGAAAACCAAAAGCAACCUAAUAUAAAUAAUGUAAAUGGGAGAAAGAAAAGACACUGUCUGAUAGAAAGGUGAGCAUGAAAACCAUCCCUAACACAGCAUAUAUAAACAAUUAAGGAUUUGCUAUACAACUUGUAUCUAUACUUUGCUAAGAGGGGUCAGGGUAUCCUGGCUUACACUGAGGACUAAACUCACCUUCUGAACAAGUCAUCCAAGUCCUGCAAACAAAACAAGAGAAGCUUAGUUACCUAAAGAAACAGAACACAAUGUGGUUUCAUAUAUAUGAGAUUUAUUUAUUCAUUUUACAGAUAUGAGUACACUAUUGCUCUCUUCAGACACACCAGAAGGGGGCAUCAGUGCUCUUAGCCAUUGAGCCAUGCCACCAACCCAUUAAGUUUUAUGUCAAUCAGCACUAUACCAAUUCACCUGCAAAUGUAUUUUCAUGUCCCAGGGUAAUGCCAAUGAAGUGGAUUAGCACAAUGGAAUUCUUAAUGAAAUCAGGCUGUGAGAAUACUUGGGAAGCAUAUGGGUAGGAGUUAUACACUGCUUUGGAACACCUCACUGUCUGCAAAGAGGACUUUCUUUAAUCUUGUACACAAGCAUAGGAAUACUUUCAUUAGGGGUACUUGAAAACUGAGGCCUAACCCCUACAUGGUGCCUCGUAUCUGUAACUCUAGACUUUGGGGUUUAGGUCUCAGGAGUCCUGUGAGUCCGAGGCCAUUGUGUACCACAAAGAACAUGUAUCAAAUCCCCCACCGCCCAAAAAACUCUCAAAAACAUAGCUUUCAGACAGAACAAACGAACGGUAGACUACUUUAAAGCUGUGCUUAGCAUCCAAGUAGAGGUAAAAUGGAGUAUCCGGUAACAAGAAUCACUUAAUUUGGGGUUUCAAAGAAGCAAGCUACAAACACACCAAAAAAAAGAAAAAAUGGGGAGAUAUUCAAUGAGGAAAUCAACUGACAAUGUCAACAAGCUUGCUCUUUUUAGGUUAUCACAGAAAUUAUCUCUCCAGGUUUUUUUUUCUUUUCGAGACAGGGUUUCUCUGUGUAGCCCUGGAUGUCCUGGAACUCAGAAAUCCGCCUGCCUCUGCCUCCCAAGUGCUGGGAUUAAAGGCGUGCUCCACCACCACCCGGCCAGAUUUUUCUUAAAAAGGAAAUCCCCUGAUAAGUACAGGGGCUAUAGAAAGGACUCUCAGAUGUAAAAGCCACAGGUGUGGUCCUCAGAUAAUGAAGCUCUUUCAAGCACUCCAUGCUCACCUGCACCAGCAGCUCCUGGUAUGGCCUCUGGGACAUUGUCAUCAGCUCCUGAUACACCUCUGUUAGUUGAUUUCUCUCGUGGACUAUCGUAGCUUCACUUUUCCUGAGCUCCUCUAAAGUAGUGUUGCUUUGAUGUCUCAAACACUCUAUGUGUUGAUCCCUUUCUUCACUGAGGGGUGGACAUUGUUUUCCAUACACUCUCUUGAUCACUUCCUCCCGUAGCUUCACGGACUUCUGAAGGAAAAGGGACAUCCUAGAUCACACUGAAGAGUAUUUGAUCCUCUCCACGGAAUCCUUCUAUGUUUAAUUCACCUACAGGAGCCCAUCAGAGUGCUGCACACACUGAUUUACUGUCUGCACUUUCCAGAAAAUGUCAAUUCUCUGAUUUCAUACAUUUCUUCUUUAUUAAUAGCUGAAGCAGGCAAACCCAUCCUUUUCCCUUACCACUUUUAUCUAUUAAAUGAGACUCAUCUCAGAGGGGGGAAAAGGUUUUGAUUGGUAAUAAAUUCACUCAAAAAUGCAACUCUGCUCCAGGUGUGGUGGCCCACGCCUUUAGUCCCAGCACUUGAGAGGCAAAGGCAGGUGGAUUUCUGAGUUUGAGGCCAACCUGGUCUACAGAGUGAGUUCCAGGACAGCCAGGGCUACACAGAAAAACCCUGUCUCAAAAAAAAAAAAAAAUGCAACUCUGCACAUAGUAACCAAAAUUCCCCAUGUGGAGUCAGUACUUCCCCAAGUGGAGUGAUGGGCUGUGCUGAACACUCAGAAAGUCACCCAUUAACAUCAAACUUUUCUGCCACACGGCCAUGUCAUUCUCUCUGUAUUCAAAAUUGUAUUUUACCCUUGAGAAUUUAAGGUUAACAGAAAAGGAAUUUCCUAGCAUCACAUCCCAUGCUUGUUCCUCAAAUUGUGAAUGACCAAGUUUGCAAGAUAUCUGCCUCCCAAGUGCUGGGAUGAAAGGCGUCACCACUACUGCCUGGCUCAAGAUACUUUUUUCUAUUCUGUGCUUUGUCUAAAAUAUUUCAAGAACAUUCUAUGCUUAAGAAAUGCUCUGAGUGGUUUUAAGAAAUAUCAAUAUUUAAAGCUUGAGGUAGGGUGCAUUUUCUUGGAUAGGAAGGUGCUGUUUCACUAACAUGCCUGCAGUGAAAGGCCAGACUGGAGGAGAAGGGCUUGGAUCACUCCUCAAUGAAUGUCUCUGGCCUCAAAGAAUGUACCAGUUUGGGCUGAAGUCUCAUACCCACCAACCACCACAAGGUCAUUCUCCUCUCUUUUUCUACAUAAUUCUGCUGGAUUUUGAGCCUCUGCCAUAAUGAGUCCAUGUGCUUUAGAAGUUCCUCCUGUAAUAAAUAAAUAAAUAAAUAAAUAAAUCAUCGGUAAAUCCUUCAAUGAAAACUACUUUCCAAAGAGGUUUUGUGACUGAGGGUGUGGUUCUUGGAAAGAAUGCGAACUGUGGAUUAUAUUGUUGGAAAACAAA
rnacentral:lncRNA from 1 species